UUGGUACUUUGCUUCUCUCUGUGUGCUGGUUUUUUCCACACUUCAGCCCUGAGGAGAAACCAACCCCACCUCACAUACAAAAUGUGCAUAGGAGUGGGAAAAGUAUACAUAUUGACUUUGGCUCAGUAUACAUGGUCUAUCAAUUUUGUGCCAUGGAGCCACAAAGCACACUAAGUGCAACAGAGUUAAUUGUUCUUUUGUCUGCUCCCUUUCAGGUGACAGGGCAAUUUCUGAGGGUUGCUCUUCUCUGACUGAGCAAACCCCAAGUUAUCCGUUAUCUUUGUUUCCCCAUUGCUUUCUUCCAUAAUUGAAGUUUAUUAGAUAACACCCUUGAGAAUGAGGGGACAUUCUCCCCGACUAUCCCCCCCUCCAAAAGAGUCGAUCUAAUUUAACAUGAAACACAAGUAGUAUUUAUUGUAAGGUAUAACAGAGAACGACAUACUAGAACAAAAUACUAGUUUACUUCUAGAUACUUCCAACUUCCAAAUUCCUGUUUCCACUUCCACUCUCAAAGUAUGACUCUCUUUGCUCCCCAGUACUUUGCAGAUUUUAACCACUUUGUCUGCUGGAUGCACAAAAGCUGCUAGCGGAGUUGUCUGUGUGAAAUAACAAAUUAAUAUUUGAGAACUGCAGUAUAUUCAACACAGUAGAUUGGUGCUGUGUCAAGGUGCCAUUACUUCAUGACAGUACGUUUCCUAUUUUCCUGAAGUUAAUCAUUUGUAAACUAGCAUUUAAAUAGGCCAUUUAGGCUUGGUGAUCACGCUGGGAAUUAACUACCAUGCAGGAGAAAUAGACAGUGUCUUUAAUACAAAGUGACUUGGGAAGGCAUUGCCACACAAACUCUACAAAAAGUUACUCUUUCCCUUCAGACUUCAGAUCCGUUCUGAAUCUUCCUUCAGUAGAGACCCCCAUUUGACUUCCAUUUCCUAUGUUGUGGACAGACCUUUUUUCUUCCAUUGGAACCCUGAGCCUCAUUCUGAAUCAGUAUGAGAAACGCAUCUUCCUUGUUUUUUCCUGUUUUAAAUGGUUGCAGUUGGAAUAAAAAGGUGCUUGUUUUGUACAGUCCCUAGAUGAAUAGCAGAGCUGGAUUAAUUCCUGCUAAUGCAACCCAAGCUCCGGACCACUAGUGGUGCUUUGUACCUAAUGCAGUGGGACAUGCAGCCUGCAACCCCUACUUUACUUGUGUGGAGGUUAGAGCUGACUGGUCAGCACAACCCUGACCGUGGGUAGAACAAGGCAGACACUUGUGGCGCUUAACCAAAUUGUAAAAUUGCCCACAUCUUGGGGAGCCCCUUUGAAAGAGGAGUGGGUAUCAUUGGUAUUGCCACCUGCCCUCUCAUUUGGGUGAAUUGCCAUGCCACAUCACCUUCUUCCCAACACUGAUGACUGUUUUCAGAAAACGUUUUUCUCUCUGUACCUGGCAGAUCCUUCCAUUCCCUGGCAUUUUGCUCUUUAUUUGGGCCUAGUGGUGUAUAGUACUCUUGAAUAGACUAAGUUGUGAGGCAUGUGGUUAUACUCCAUUACUCAUGCACCUUUAAACACCUGAAAAAUGUAGCUUCCGUGAAAGUUAGGUUGGCAUAGUCUCCGGGAGUGCUGCAGCCCAGAGAGACUAAAAUCACACGUCGAUUUUGCCUGCCUACAUGCUCGUAUCUACAAGACACAUGUUUUGAAAACUAUUGUAUACUGUAGAACUCCUUUUGGGCUCCAGAACUUGUCUCUCCACACAGACACACAUGCAGACAGACCCCUUCCCCCCGUUAAUUUUAAAUUAACAAUUCUAGCUGUAUAGUGUCCUUAUACUCCUGGAAACUUUUUCAGGUGCAAUAUUUUAUAUCUUAAUUUUAAAUAAUUAAAAACUCCAUCUUUUACCAAAGCAUUACAUUUAAAGUAGGGUACUUUUGCGAAGCGUUCAGGUAGUAAAGGCAUUCUGCUUCUUUCAAUGUUUAUUUCUCAAUUGGUUGCUGUCAGUUGCUGCCCCAAGGAACUUAGUGUAAAUGAUGCAAUGGAGCAGAUGGGACACAUUGAGAAGGAUUGAUUAAUGUUGUUUCCAUAUACAGUGAAACCUCACUAUAACACAAUGAUUGGGGUCCGAAAAAUUCAGUUGCAAUAAAUGUGGGGUUGUGUUAUAGCAGGGUUACGAAAAUUUACCAUUUCAAGCCGGUCAGAUUCUCUUGGGCAGAAAACUACUUGCGUUUGCGAACUGCCCAUAACAGUAACUGAAAAGGUAUAGCAAUAAUUACUGACAUUACAAGCUAAUCAACCUAUUAAACGAGCCAGAACCAGCUGGAGAAUGGCUGGGUUUGGACUUUGAAAACUAGAGUUUUGGGACCUGGCAGGCUGGGGCCGGAGCGGCUCUCGAGAUCUGUACAAAGGUGCUCAGCCGACUCCCCUCCACCCAGAGAGCCGAUUGCAGUGUUUGACACUGAGGAAUUGCUGAUAUUCAGAGCAGAGUUCGUGCCACUGUUUCUGUAGCAUCCCUCCCAGCUAUCAGCCUGCUCCAGCAGCGAAGGCUCUCAGCCAUGCAGGGAGACACUUGGGGAGAUGUGCAAGGGGCAGAGGAAGAGCAAGUAGCAGCUGGGGAGGAGAGCAGCUCUUCUUGCCAAAAGGGGAAGAGGGGACGGGGGGGAAGAGGCAGUGGAGAAGGCACAUUUAUUUUUAGUUUUUUGCUUGGAGUAGCUGGAGCCUCUUAGAUCGCAUUAUAUCCGAAUUAGUGUUAUUGCGGGGGCACGUUAUACCGGGGUUUCACUGUACAUAAUUUCACUUCACUUCUAUUUGUCAGUGUAGUUUUACAAGGUUUAGACUUCGUGAGAAGCCACACUUUCUCUGCUGGAGGUUGGUGAUAUCACUGCAAAUGUCUUCAACAGCUUGGCCCAAUCCUUGUCCCUUCCCCUACUCCACAGCUCCUUAAUUGUGCAGAAUAUAGUUGUUCCUGUUAAGCUCUUGAUAGAGAAGAUGGUUUAAAUAGACUACAUGGAGGAAAAUCUUUUCUUUCAGAAUAAUUUCUCUGCUCAUGAUGGUGAAUGAAUAAAUAGAAUGUACAGAUUUCACAUCUGAGCCAGGUUCUCUCUUUAACUGAAAUAUUUAUUGAACACACAUUAUCAAAGUAGUUGUAGCAUGGAGAAUGGAGGGGAGAGUAUGAUUGAGUCAGGGGCAUGAGAGUAUUUGAGCUAAGGUUUAACACACACUU